AGGGUUAAAGUGCAGAGGUUAUGUCCUCGAGUCUCCUGGGGCCAGUUGCUCAUAAAGUGUAAUCUGGAUCAGAAUGAUCUGGAUUUGGAGAUCCCAUACACACUUUUCCAGAUUUCCAAAUCUAGAUUACUAGAGCUCUACGGAGCCCCUAAAGGGACAUGCUGAUUGGAAAAAAAAGAGAGAUGGAGGAAAGCAUGCUAAUGUUUUGCAUUGCGUUUACACAAAUAACUACUUCUG